CCUACGGGUGGCAGCAGUAGGGAAUCUUUCACAAUGGGCGAAAGCCUGAUGGAGCAACGCCGCGUGCAGGAUGAAGGCCUUCGGGUUGUAAACUGCUUUUAUAAGCGAGAAAUAUGAUGGUAACUUAUGAAUAAGGAUCGGCUAAUUACGUGCCAGCAGCCGCGGUCAUACGUAGGAUCCGAGCAUUAUCCGGAGUGACUGGGUGUAAAGAGUUGCGUAGGUGGCAUACUAAGUAUCUAGUGAAAUCUGGUGGCUCAACCAUUCAGACUAUUAGCUAAACUGUUAAGCUCGAGACCGUUAGGGGUAACUGGAAUUUCUAGUGUAGGAGUGAAAUCCGUAGAUAUUAGAAGGAACACCAAUAGCGUAGGCAGGUUGCUGGGACGGUUCUGACACUAAGGCACGAAAGCGUAGGGAGCAAACGGGAUUAGAUACCCCUGUAGUC
rnacentral:rRNA from 1 species